GCUAUUCAAGUUUCUGCCCUAUCAGCUUUCGAUGGUAGUGUAUUGGACUACCAUGGCAGUAACGGGUAACGAAGAAUUAGGGUUCGAUUUCGGAGAGGGAGCAUGAGAAACGGCUACCACAUCUAAGGAAGGCAGCAGGCGCGUAAAUUACCCAAUCCUGACUCAGGGAGGUAGUGACAAGAAAUAGCAAACCGGGAACCUCAUGGUUUCACGGUAUUGCAAUGAGAACAAUUUAAAACCCUUAGCGAGAAUCAAGUGGAGGACAAGUCUGGUGCCAGCACCCGCGGUAAUUCCAGCUCCACUAGCGUAUAUUAAAGUUGUUGCAGUUAAAAAGCUCGUAGUUGAACCUCUGUCUGGGGCUAGUUUUGGCUUUGGUCAGGCUAGUUCUAGGCAUCCGCCUACAAGACUUAGAGGGCAUUCAGUUGUUCACUAGGAGGAGUAGGCAUUUUACUUUGAAAAAAUUAGAGUGCUUAAGGCAGGCAAUCGCCCGCAUAUAUUAGCAUGGAAUAAUAGAAUAGGACACUUUUCCAUUUCGUUGGUUAUUGGAAUCGUGUAAUGAUUAAUAGGGACAGUUGUGGGCAUUUGUAUUUAAUUGUCAGAGGUGAAAUUCUUGGAUUUAUUAAAGACAAACUAACGCGAAAGCAUUUGCCAAGGAUGUUUUCAUUAAUCAAGAACGAAAGUUAGGGGAUCAAAGACGAUCAGAUACCGUCCUAGUCUUAACUAUAAACUAUUCCGACUCAAUGUUUGACUGGCUUAUAUAACCAGUUGAGCGUUGUAUGAGAAAUCAAAGUCUUUAGGUUCUGGGGGGAGUAUGGUUGCAAAGCUGAAACUUAAAGGAAUUGACGGAAGAGCACAACCAGGAGUGGAUUCUGCGGCUUAAUUUGACUCAACACGGGGAAACUUACCAGGUUAAAACAAUAGUGGGAUUGACAGUUUGAGAGCGCUUUCUUGAUUGGUUGGGUGGUGGUGCAUGGCCGUUCUUAGUUGGUGGAGUGAUUUGUCUGCUUAAUUGCGUUAACGAACGAGACCUUAACCUGCUUACUAGACUGGCGAUCAUCAAUCGUUAGCUCUUCUUAGAGGGACUUUGGUUGUUUUAACUCCAAGGAAGUUUGAGGCAAUAACAGGUCUGUGAUGCCCUUAGAUAUCCUGGGCCGCACGCGUCAUACAAUGACUAGUUCAGAAAGUUUUCUCCUGACCCGAAAGGGGAUGGGUAAUCUUGAUAAUACUAGUCGUGUUAGGGAUCGAUCUUUGCAAUUAUAGAUCUUGAACGAGGAAUUCCUAGUAAGUGCGGUUCAUCAGACCGUACUGAUUACGUCCCUGCUCUUUGUACACACCGCCCGUCGCUUCUACCGAGUGGGUGGUCCGGUGAG
rnacentral:rRNA from 1 species